CUACGGGCCGCUGCAGUGAGGAAUAUUGGACAAUGGUCGAAAGACUGAUCCAGCCAUGCCGCGUGCAGGAUGACUGCCCUAUGGGUUGUAAACUGCUUUUAUACGGGAAGAAAAACACCUACGUGUAGGUGACUGACGGUACCGUAAGAAUAAGGACCGGCUAACUCCGGGCCAGCAGCCGCGGUAAUACGGAGGGUCCAAGCGUUAUCCGGAAUCAUUGGGUUUAAAGGGUCCGUAGGCGGGCUAUUAAGUCAGAGGUGAAAGUUUGCAGCUCAACUGUAAAAUUGCCUUUGAUACUGAUAGUCUUGAAUUGUAGUGAAGUGGUUAGAAUAUGUGGUGUAGCGGUGAAAUGCAUAGAUAUCACAUAGAAUACCGAUUGCGAAGGCAGAUCACUAACUAUAUAUUGACGCUGAGGGACGAAAGCGUGGGGAGCGAACGGGAUUAGAUACCCCAGUAGUC
rnacentral:rRNA from 1 species